UAUCGUUUGACAUAUGCCUUUCGUAUAUCCUCGAAAAUAAGGUUCGAAAGUUUCUACCGGGUCACCGUAAAUGACUCGACUAUGAAGGCAGAAGAAGGUUUG
rfam:Oceanobacillus oncorhynchi strain Oc5 genome assembly, contig: CONTIG000001